CUGUUGGUCAAUAGAAGAGCCCAUUGGGCCGAACAAAAACUCGUUUCAGAUAAUUUUAACGAAUAAUUUGACGGUCCGGUGUUCGAACCCGCUCAUUUGGCCAGUUCGACUCGUAUCAUACAACAUCUCUCACCUGAAGUUGAAUUCCAGCGCUUUACACUUGCAACAGCAAAGGAUGGCGGAUCAGAAACAAGGUUACCUCUGCAUGAUUACCAGACUCCCGAAAUCAGCAACAACAGAGCACGUCAAGGCUAAUUUUAGCCAUUUUGGCAAAAUUCUUGAUGCACACGUUUUCGUGGACAACUCUAAUGACGUGUCAAUGGGUAAAGCAUACGUUAUUUUUGAAGAAGAAAGUGGAAGGAGCGCUGCAAUGAAAAUGAGUGGGAAAUUGUUUUGCGGAGAGAUAAUUGGGGUUAAGGAUGACAAAUAUGGUUUUGGUAGGAAUGCAUAUGAGUUUCAUGACUCAUUAUUUGAUUCUUACAUUUCCAUUGGUGAAACUCGUAAAAGAGGACCCAAGGGGGGGCAUUCUAUCAGCAGAAGUAAAUAUGUAGGCAGGGGAAGCGGCAGGUUUGGGCCUGGGCCUCAUCGUGGCGAAAGCCAGUAGUCGCGUGAAGGAUUUGCCUUGAUGACUGUCCUUGAUUGGCUGGAUGCUUUUGAUAUAUAUAUAUAUAUAUGUCCAGGGUUAUUGCAAAUUCAAUAAAUUAUAUAAUUAGAAUCAUGCUUAUGCUUAGUUAUAAGGUCAAUUUAUAUCCAAAUCGUCGCCAUCGUUAGCAUCAGAGGAUUUGACGUAUAUAAUAUCUGACAUGCAUUGUCAGCUACUAUGUAAACUGUGGUGUGUGUUUCAUGAUUUCUAUAUAUUUCUAAUCCAAAACUAGGGAUGCAUGAAGGAGUUGAUUGCCCGUAUCUGUAACUCCUGCAAUACACCAAUGAGUACAAUCCAUGCCUUAUACUUAUAGUAACUGCUGGGAUGUCCAUCUUUUCUCAGCUGGAAAAGAGUCGAUGUCGAUUUGUCACUCCUCGCUCGUUACAUUCGGUGCCACUGGUACAUUACAAGAUUAUAUCAUUAGCGCAAUAGCAUAUAUAUGAAGGCGAAGUAUCUUUAAACAACAUUAUACAUCCUCCGUCUCACAUACUCCAAAAAUGUGGACUACUUCGAUAAUUCUGUUAUCUAUAAUUUCCGGAAUUCGAGAGAAGGCUUACUUGUAAUGUGAGGAGGAGAUUCCUUGGAAGAAAACUUUGGUUGUCUCUGUGUGUGGAGACAUCUGAAGUUGUCUGUGUGUUGACAUCUAAAUCAUCCAGUUAGCCCAUGUUAAAGCUUUACAGAACGCAACCAUUCGACCCAUGUCUUUCAUUAUUUUUUUGUCAUCUUUAAUAAAAUCUCACCUGCAAAAUAA